UACAGAGGGGGCAAGCGUUGUUCGGAAUUACUGGGCGUAAAGGGCGCGUAGGCGGCCUUCUAAGUCGAACGUGAAAUCCCUGGGCUCAACCCAGGAACUGCGUCCGAUACUGGGAGGCUUGAAUCCGGGAGAGGGAUGUGGAAUUCCAGGUGUAGCGGUGAAAUGCGUAGAUAUCAGGAGGAACACCGGUGGCGAAGGCGGGUCUCUGGGCCGAUACUGACGCUGAGGAGCGAAAGCGUGGGGAGCGAACAGG
rnacentral:rRNA from 1 species